GGUAAUACAGAAGCCUCGAGCGUUACCCGGAUUCACUGGGCGUAAAGGGUGCGUAGGCGGGUAGAUUAGUCGGGUGUUAAAUCUUGGGGCUCAACCUCAAGCUCGCAUCCGAAACGGUCUACCUUGAAGGCGUCAGAGGUAAGCAGAACUCUCGGUGUAGGGGUGGAAUCCGUUGAUAUCGAGGGGAAUACCAAAUGCGAAGGCAGCUUACUGGGACGUUCUUGACGCUGAGGCACGAAAGCGUGGGUAGCGAACGGGAUUAGAUACCCCGGUAGUCCACGCCCUAAACGCUGUUCGCUAGCUAUAAGGAGUAUCGACCCUCUUUGUGGCGUAGGUAACCCGUUAAGCGAACCGCCUGGGUAGUACGAGCGCAAGCUUAAAACUCAAAGGAAUAGACGGGGGCUCGCACAAGCGGUGGAUCAUGUGGCUUAAUUCGUAGCUAAGCGAGGAACCUUACCUGGGCUAGAAACUAUACUGCACGCUCCCUGAAAGGGGAGAAGCCUUCGAGGGUGUAUAGCAGGUGAUGCAUGGCCGUCGUCAGUUCGUGUCUUGAGAUGUUCCCUUAAGUGGGGAAACGAACGCAACCCUCGUUGUGUGUUAUACGUGUCACACGAGACUGCCCCCUCACGGGGGAGGAAGGUGAGGAUGACGCCAGGUCAGCAUGUCCCUCGACGCCCAGGGCUGCACACGUGAUACAAUGGGACGUACAGCGAGACGCGAUACCGCAAGGUGGAGCCAAUCUUCAAAACGUCCCUCAGUUCGGAUAGUGGUCUGCAACUCGACCACUGAAGUCGGAAUCGCU
rnacentral:rRNA from 1 species